AACACAGCUAGGGCAUUUCAAAAAUUACCAUCCCGGUCACCAUUUUCACCGACAUUCGUCUCCCAUUCGCCGGCAUCGUCCUCGUCCAUUGUUGUGUCGGCAAGAGUCGUUUGAUUGAGAGUACCAGAGAUAGAGGAGACACACAAAAGGCAACGCCUUCCAUAUCGUUUGCCGCCGUAAUCGUCCUCGCACCACUAUAAUGCCGUUCGCCGUCAUCGUCCUCCUACCAGGGGCUAGCCGUUGCCAUAGCUGUAAGCAUUGGAGGAGCAACUGAUGGACUGAGCAGAAAAUUGAAGCACAAAAUUUGCGAUCGUGGAGUUACAAGUGCAAACUGAGAAAAUUACACAUACACUCACAGAGAUAGAUAAAGAGAGAGAGAUAUAUAUAAAUAGAUAGAGAAGCAUUGGUGGUGGUUUGUCCCCCAUUAAUGUAAGUUGCUUCUCUGUACAACAUAGAAAAUAUUUUGCAAACUAAUUUCGCUUUAAUGUAACGAACUUAUCUGAAAACCUUUAGUUGUGCUGUAUUGAAUGAGUUUUACAAUUUUGAACCUU